rnacentral:rRNA from 1 species
CGUAGGUGACGAGCGUUAUCCGGAUUUAUUGGGCGUAAAGCGCACGCAGGCGGCUGAUUAAGUCUGACGUGAAAUCUCUCGGCUUAACCGGGAGCGGUCGUUGGAAACUAAUCGGCUUGAGGCGAUGAGAGGGGUGUGGAAUUCCCGGUGUAGUGGUGGAAUGCGUAGAUAUCGGGGGGAACAUCAGUGGCGAAAGCGGCACCCUGGCAUUUGCCUGACGCUCAUGUGCGAAAGCGUGGGGAGCGAACGGGAUUAGAUACCCCGGUAGUCCACGCUGUAAACGAUGAAUACUAGGUGUGGGCAGUCUCAAAAUUGUCCGUGCCGAAGCAAACGCGAUAAGUAUUCCGCCUGGGGAGUACGGCCGCAAGGCUA